AUAUACCCAUGUUGCUGCCCACUGUUGCAUUACUUCUUCUUCUUCAUUCGCUGCUACGUGUGUUUGUUGCUGGUUGAGGGUUGCACCUUUCAUCAGAGGGAAGGGUACCCUAGAGCACCUGGUACGGGACGAGGUGGCCAUAGCCCGACAGGUUGGCUCUAUAUUGAAUGUAAAGGGAAGACUAUUAUUGGGGGUGAGUCUAGUAGGACUAGGGCCUAAGGAUAGUGGUGUACGAGGACGCGUCCUAACUUGAAGAUCCUGUUUAGCAUUUUGGUGAGAUUUGAGUUGAAAUGAUUUUUAUUUUGUUGGUUAACAUUAGAGCCUCUUAAUUAAUUGGUAUGGCUUUUGAGCCCCAAACUUGUGGGAUAUUGGAAGUGUAACUGAAUCUUAAUUUAGUUUUCGU